rnacentral:rRNA from 1 species
UACGUAGGGGGCAAGCGUUGUCCGGAUUUAUUGGGCGUAAAGAGCGUGUAGGCGGCUUUACAGGUCCGUUGUGAAAACUCGAGGCUCAACCUCGAGACGCCGGUGGAAACCGUAAGGCUAGAGUCCGGAAGAGGAGAGUGGAAUUCCUGGUGUAGCGGUGAAAUGCGCAGAUAUCAGGAAGAACACCGGUGGCGAAGGCG